CCUACGGGUGGCUGCAGUGGGGAAUAUUGCACAAUGGGCGCAAGCCUGAUGCAGCCAUGCCGCGUGUGUGAAGAAGGCCUUCGGGUUGUAAAGCACUUUCAGCGGGGAGGAAGGCGGUGAGGUUAAUAACCUCAUCGAUUGACGUUACCCGCAGAAGAAGCACCGGCUAACUCCGUGCCAGCAGCCGCGGUAAUACGGAGGGUGCAAGCGUUAAUCGGAAUUACUGGGCGUAAAGCGCACGCAGGCGGUCUGUCAAGUCGGAUGUGAAAUCCCCGGGCUCAACCUGGGAACUGCAUUCGAAACUGGCAGGCUAGAGUCUUGUAGACGGGGGUAGAAUUCCAGGUGUAGCGGUGAAAUGCGUAGAGAUCUGGAGGAAUACCGGUGGCGAAGGCGGCCCCCUGGACAAAGACUGACGCUCAGGUGCGAAAGCGUGGGGAGCAAACAGGAUUAGAUACCCUUGUAGUC
rnacentral:rRNA from 1 species